rnacentral:rRNA from 1 species
UACGUAGGGUGCGAGCGUUGUCCGGAAUUAUUGGGCGUAAAGGGCUCGUAGGCGGUUUGUCACGUCGGGAGUGAAAACUCAGGGCUCAACCCUGAGCCUGCUUCCGAUACGGGCAGACUAGAGGUAUGCAGGGGAGAACGGAAUUCCUGGUGUAGCGGUGGAAUGCGCAGAUAUCAGGAGGAACACCGAUGGCGAAGGCAGGUCUCUGGGCCACUACUGACACUGAGAAGCGAAAGCAUGGGGAGCGAACAGG